GGACAGGAGAGUUAAUUCUGAGACAAGGAAAACAUUUGCUUCUCUCUAUUCGAGAAGACCUUCUUAUUAUUCCGAGACAAGAAAAAACUCUGCUGCUGCUUCAGAAAUCCAAUUUUGCAACAUGACGGUAUCGAAGCGUUUGGCGGAGAAGAAAGUGGCCAAGUUUGAGAAGAAUAUAAGUAGGAGAGGAGUGGGUCCCAUCUCUUCCAACAAGACCACCUUGGAGCCUGCUCACGUUGUUCUUAUUCUCUUCGCCGUCUUGGUCGUCGCCUCCUUUAUCUUUCAGGUGGUGAGGAUGGCCAUCAAUGGUGGAAUUCCUGCAGAGCAAGAUUCUUGAGGAAUGGAAAACCCUCUUUUUCUCACUGACUUAAUAAUGUCACUGUCGCUUAUUCAACUACAACUUUUUUGAUAUAAA